GAGUUUGAUCAUGGUCUCAGGUAUGAACGCUAGCUACAGGCUUAACACAUGCAAGUCGAGGGGCAGCAUGGUCUUAGCUUGCUAAGGCCGAUGGCGACCGGCGCACGGGUGAGUAACACGUAUCCAACCUGCCGUCUACUCUUGGACAGCCUUCUGAAAGGAAGAUUAAUACAAGAUGGCAUCAUGAGUCCACAUGUUCACAUGAUUAAAGGUAUUCCGAUAGACGAUGGGGAUGCGUUCCAUUAGAUAGUAGGCGGGGUAACGGCCCACCUAGUCUUCGAUGGAUAGGGGUUCUGAGAGGAAGGUCCCCCACAUUGGAACUGAGACACGGUCCAAACUCCUACGGGAGGCAGCA
rnacentral:rRNA from 1 species